AGAGUUUGAUCAUGGCUCAGGACGAACGCUGGCGGCGUGCUUAACACAUGCAAGUCACGGGGGACAAUUCGGCGCUUCGCCCUUCGAGACGCAGGCGAUACCAGUUCCUGUUAACGAUGGGCGCGAAUGCCGGGAGGAAGACCGUGACAUCUGGGUCUCCGGAACAAUCCAACAGGACACUCGCGAGUGUUGCAAUCAGUGGCGUUUCCCAUCGGAGAGCGUACCGCUCAUGGGCUAGGCUUGCGUUGGCUAGGAAGCUGUGUCGACAUCUUGCAUGGGCUUCCCUAGGUGAUUCGGGACUGAGAUACGGCCCAGACUCCUACGGGAGGCAGCAGUGGGGAAUAUUGCGCAAUGGCCGAAAGGCUGACCCUGAACUCUUGGGAUGCGACGUUGAGGGCUGCUGGCAUUAGCGAACCGCAAUCCCGUACUUGGUAGACAACGAACCCAACACUCCGGAGAGACUGCCUACGCACCGGCUAACUCCGUGCCAGCAGCCGCGGUAAUACGGAGGGUGCGAGCGUUGUCCGGAAUCACUGGGCGUAAAGGGCGCGUAGGCGGUCCGAUACGAAACUUCUUGCACAGGCAUGAGGCACGCGUGCGUACCAGACGGCCUCGGAAUACACCGGAAACCUUUGAGGCCGCUCCCAGGUGUACGCGAGGCACCAAAGCGGUAUUCCAUGGUAGAGAACACUGCUGCGGAUUACCGACAUUUAGCCUCGCGUAUAGCACCCUGCCGUUGCGUGGGGAGCAAACAGGAUUAGAUACCCUGGUAGUCCACGCCGUAAACGAUGGACAACCACGCGGUUACACGCGGAGAUCCCGCCAGAUGAGAGCCCAGGCAUCACAGCGAUCAGGCACUUGACAUACCGCAAGGUUGAAACUCAAAGGAAUUGACGGGGGCCCGCACAAGCGGUGGAGCAUGUGGUUUAAUUCGACGCAACGCGAAGAACCUUACCCAGGCUUCCCAGACGCAACUGUGGCGGCCUCUGCGGUAUGCGUAAGCCAUGCCUCGAGACAGGUGCUGCAUGGCUGUCGUCAGCUCGUGUUGUGAAAUGUUGGGUUAAGUCCCGCAACGAGCGCAACCCUUAUCCUGAAGCAUGGCUGCACGGAUUAGCAGGCAGUGAAAGGGAUGUGCUUGAUACCGUGUCCCAGGCGAGUAGUGAAGGGUUGCAGCUCCCUGGUGCCAUCCGUGUGCAGCUCCCACUCGCCGUGUUUGGCUCAAUACGACGGUGCGUAGAAGGCGCUUUGUGCCCGUUCCGCUAUGUCCUUCGAGUGGCUCACGUGUAAGCUGGCGGCAGAGAUAAGUGCGCUCAGAAACGUCUCCGUUACUCGGGCGGUCUAUGGUGAAUACGUUCCCGGGCCUUGUACACACCGCCCGUCACGCUUCUGGCCGCGCGAGUUUGUCACUCGGACUACCGACUCCGAGAGAUUAGUGCGGCUCCGUAUGGACGACCCUGAUUGGGGUGAAGUCGUAACAAGGUAACCGUAGGGGAACCUGCGG
rnacentral:rRNA from 1 species